UGGAUCAGUGAUGACUACUGGUGGCGGUUAAGUCAAAUAUUAUAAAUACAAAUCUGGAAAUCUGAGGUCUAU
rnacentral:snoRNA from 1 species